GGAUGUCUCUGUCAAUUCUAGAGUUUAUAUAUUAUUCUUCUGUGGUCUUUGAUAGAAUUGAAGACAGAUAGUUAUGGUUAUAGUUUUCUUCAGUUAUUAUAAAAGAUAAGUUAUCCUUCUUUUAUUUAGACAGAAAAGAGGAGAUGAUGGGGAAUAUACUGUGUAUGUUUAUCUUAUUGAUUGUUAAAUGAAAUACUGUUUGGCCAAUGAGACAGCAAGUUAGACAGAACUAGGAGUCAAAGAGGAUUCUGGGAAAUGUAGUAGAGAAGUGGUGAUCCAGGCAGGAAGUGGCAUAGCAAGGAGACUCAUAUUUAAGUGAAGGAGAAACAGAAAGGGUCCUUUUUUCCCUUGCUCCUCCAGCAGCACAAUGUGAUCCACUGGCAAGGAGGGAUGCCAAUAAGGCGUCUGAUAAGAUAAGUCUUAUAAAAUAUAUAGAUUUAUGAUAAUUAAGACUGAGCUAACAGAUGAGAAUCCUAGUCAUUGGCUAAGCAGCUUUGAACCUAAUACAAGUUUCUGUGUAUUCAUUUGGACCUAACUCGGGCGGGCAGCUGGCAUAAAGCACACAUGUGGCGGUGGGGCUCGGCGGCUUUUGGCAGAAAGAUUUAUCAUAACAGUCCACCACAGCCUUCCUAGAAUAUAAGCCUUUUCUGUUUUGUGUGGGUUGAGGCUAUUGCCCCUCCAGCUGGCCUGCUGGGUCCUCCUGCCUUCCUCAGCUUCUUCCAGGAAUGUCACACCCAGUGCUAUGUAUAUGGAGACAAUUCAAUGACUUCUCACUGGGUUAGGAAAGGAGUCCCUUCUCAUGGGACUUCAAUGCUAGGCCUUGGUUGAUUUUGGAUUUGUUCUUCCAGUAAAACAAAAUGGAAGACCAAAAGUCAGACUUCAAAGAUGAUAAUCGCAAAAGGCUUUUUCUGCAUGCCAUCCCAGAAGACGUCCCUAGUUCAGUGUAAACAUAGGAGAGAGAGAGGGAAAACAACCCUACAAGGCAAACAGAAGCAGCAGAACUCCAGGAUAAUGCCCCAUGGAUGCUCUCCCUGAAGCCCCAUCAUGGAUGAAGAAGUGAGGAGCUAGGAGCCACCACCAGUUCCAAUCCUGCCCAAGGUACUUUGUAUUAUUCCUGCAAAUA
rnacentral:lncRNA from 1 species